rnacentral:rRNA from 1 species
AUUGAACGCUAGCGGCAGGCUUAACACAUGCAAGUCGAGCGGGGUGAUGGUGCUUGCACUAUCACUUAGCGGCGGACGGGUGAGUAAUGCUUAGGAAUCUGCCUAUUAGUGGGGGACAACAUCUCGAAAGGGAUGCUAAUACCGCAUACGUCCUACGGGAGAAAGCAGGGGAUCACUCGUGACCUUGCGCUAAUAGAUGAGCCUAAGUCGGAUUAGCUAGUUGGUGGGGUAAAGGCCUACCAAGGCGACGAUCUGUAGCGGUCUGAGAGGAUGAUCCGCCACACUGGGACUGGGACACGGCCCAGACUCCUACGGGAGGCAGCAGUGGGGAAUAUUGGACAAUGGGGGGAACCCUGAUCCAGCCAUGCCGCGUGUGUGAAGAAGGCCUUAUGGUUGUAAAGCACUUUAAGCGAGGAGGAGGCUCUUUUGGUUAAUACCCAAGAUGAGUGGACGUUACUCGCAGAAUAAGCACCGGCUAACUCUGUGCCAGCCGCCGCCGUAA